CGGGCCCGCACAAGCAGCGGAGCGUGUGGUUAAUCCGAUGUUACACGAAGAACCUCACCAGGGUUUGACAUGCAAGUGGUAGGAAGCCGAAAGGUGACCGACCUUCGGGAGCUUGCACAGGUGCUGCAUGGCUGUCGUCAGCUCGUGUCGUGAGAUGUUCGGUUAAGUCCGCUAACGAGCGCAACCCUCGCUGUGUGUUAUAUGUGUCACACGGGACUGCCGGUCUUAAGCCGGAGGAAGGUGGGAUGAUGUCAAGUCAGCAUGGCCUUUAUAUCCUGGGCUACACACACGCUACAAUGGCCAACACAAUAGGUUGCUAAGCCGCGAGGUGGCGCCAAUCCAUAAAGUUGGUCUCAGUUCAGAUUGUAGGCUGCAACCCGCCUGCAUGAAGAUGGAGUUGCUAGUAACCGCAGGUCAGCUAUACUGCGGUGAAUACGUUCCCGGGGCUU
rnacentral:rRNA from 1 species